CCCAAGGGGAGCCAAGCCCACGUGACAAAAAAGCCACGCUCUCAGCUUCCUUCCUCCCCUCUCUUCUGUUCUUCCCAUUACUCGCUCUCUCUCAUUCUCUUCCAAGAGCACUGCUGUAAGUCACCGAUUUUUGCGAAAUCCAACCGCAUUUUCACCGUGAAAGCAGCCCCGAUCUACAAGAAGGUGACAUUGAUGUGCCCCAGCUAAGAGGUGCUUGAGCGAAUCCCGAAUCUUCCAUAACACAGUUGACAUCAAUUUUGACGGUAGAGAUCGUGAUAAGCAAUUUUACUACAUAUACUCUAGUCACACGACUAUGUACAUCUCACCUCAUGGGUUUUGGCUAUGGGGAAGUUUGAAUUAUUUUCUUAUAUGAAUCUGUAAAUUUGAAUAUUGUGAGUAUAUGAAGGAUUUUGGCCCAGAGGGCACUUUAAUUUCAGUAUAAAGAUGAUGUCAAUAUUGUUGUAAUUUAUUUGAAAUGUUUGCUUGUCAGA